rnacentral:rRNA from 1 species
UGGGGAAUAUUGCGCAAUGGGGGAAACCCUGACGCAGCGACGCCGCGUGCGGGAUGAAGGCCUUCGGGUUGUAAACCGCUUUUGAUUGGGAGCAAGCCUUUUGGGUGAGUGUACCUUUCGAAUAAGCGCCGGCUAACUACGUGCCAGCAGCCGCGGUAAUACGUAGGGCGCAAGCGUUGUCCGGAUUUAUUGGGCGUAAAGCGAGCGCAGGCGGUUAGAAAAGUCUGAAGUGAAAGGCAGUGGCUCAACCAUUGUAGGCUUUGGAAACUGUUUAACUUGAGUGCAGAAGGGGAGAGUGGAAUUCCAUGUGUAGCGGUGAAAUGCGUAGAUAUAUGGAGGAACACCGGUGGCGAAAGCGGCUCUCUGGUCUGUAACUGACGCUGAGGCUCGAAAGCGUGGGGAGCGAACAGG